GAACUAUAUUCUAUAUCCUGUGAUAAACCAUAAUGGAAAAUAACAAGAAAAGGAAUAUUUAUAUGUAUAUAAAUAUAUAACUGGAUCACUUUGCGGUUCAGUAGAAAUAUUGUCAAUCAGCUAUACAUAAAUAAAACAAAAUUUUUAAAAACUUAAACUCUAUUAUCUGUCCUCAAUCCUUCUCAGUCUCUGUGAUCCCCAGUUCAGUCCAGAAUUUAACCUUCAAACCAACACAGUACUGACCGCUUAGGAUUCUGCCACUGCCUUGAGAGAGGGAGCACAUAGGACAAGAGGGUGCAGCUUGGUUACUGAAAGCACUCUGGGCUCUACUACCAGGGCACCCAGCCUUCAGCCAUUAAGGCAGUAAAGGAUUUAUAAAGGACAGGAGAGUCACAGGACUGGCAUUCUUUCUGUGGGAGUGGAGGAGCCCAAAGCUGUCUUCCUUCCUAGGAUCUUCCCCACCAUUCACGGCUUGCUGCUAUUAUAAUGCUGCCUGUUUGCUCUGUGUUGGUUUCCCUUUAGAAGAAGGCUGCAGACCUGAGCAGAGUGUGCCACAGGCUGUACUGCUUGCUGCCAUGCCCUAAUACAAGGAUGAGGAGGAGAACCCAAGUUCAGUAAAGACCCUUCCUAGGUUUUCAUAACUCAAUGGACAAAAAUGGCUAAAAGCCUCCAUAUAUACCAAAUCAAUGGAGGGAGAAGCCCAAUGUUAAUGACAUUUUUAUAAUGGUCAAGACUUUCAGGUAGUCGAAAGCGGUUCUCUUGUGAAUUAAUGGUUACGUCUACAACUAUUUGCACUGCCUCCACUGAAUGGGGGUUUGGAGAAAAAAAAAAUGAAGUUAAGUCAUUUCCAGGUGACUAGCACUGUAGGCUAACUGAAAAAAAAAAAAAAGGGAAAUCUCCAGAAGUUCCAAUUCCAUGACCCAUGCAGGGGGACUUUGGAAGGAGUCAUUCAAGCCAAAGAAACAGAGCUGAUAGAAAUUCAUCUUAAAGUGUGGAUUCCGAGCAGUUGCAGACGGAGAACCUGGUAGCUCUAAAGUACUAUAGGAGCUCGGAUUCAAGACGUACCCAACCCUUACCAAAGGGGAAACAUGGGGUGGGGAAGGGAUACACUGGGAGGUUGGGAUUAACAUAUACACACUACUACACAUAAAAUAGAUAAGUAACAAGGACCUACUCUAUAGUACAAGGAAUUCUCCUCAAUAUUCUGCAAUAACCUAUAUGGGAGAAAGAAUCUGAAAAAGGAUGGAUGUAGGUAUAUGUAUAACUGAAUCCCUUUGUUGCACAUCUGAAACUAACACAAUACUGUAAGUCAGCUAGACUUCAAUAUAAAACAAAAAAUAAAUUUUUAAAAAGAACUAUUCCAACACAGACCUAUAUGGGAUGAGGAAUAGCAUGGCACGUAGAAGAUAACAAAAUCGUAUUCUGGAAUUAGAUGCAAAGGGGGAGGGGAGGUGAAGACCUAUACAUGGACCUGGCAGAGACAUUUUCCUUAAGCAUUCCUGACCAAAUCUUUUACCAGUUCUCUAAUGAGUUGAGAUAGGAAAUUGUGCGAUUGCUCAAAUGUAUAUGAUUGGUAGUCUCAUGUGUAUGUGAGUUUAUAUAUAUUUGCUUGUUAAAGCCACUUAGUAAGGUAGACCUAGUACAUUCUUUGGUAUGGGUUUAAUUAUCCUCAUUCCAUCCUUUUUGUGUUCACAAUAAGGCCCAAGGUGGAAUUCCCCAGCAAAUGUCAUGAUGAAUAAUUACCUGGACUGGAUGUACCCAAUGGACAAUCAUAACCAGAUUCGGGUGAUUAGAGUAAGCAAACAUUAGCCGCAACCCUUCCAGAAUGUUGUUCCAGCAGGAUUAUUCCUAUGUGGAUAUGUCACACACUGGCAGGAUACAGGGCUGCAGAAGAAGGGGCCCAAGAGGUUUCUCUGUGAUAUCUAACUCUCCUCAUAGAGGACCUCGUUUGACAGAACUUAAUGACCUGCUUAUCCCCAAAUCAUCUUCAUCAGCCGGACAUGCCUGAAAUUCUUCUCUCUCUUUGUAAAAACAAGCAUGAUGUUAAUAUGUAAUUGAGGGAAAGUGGUGUUUGACACACUUAGCUUCUACUCAGGCACUGUUAAGUCCAUGUCUUCAGAUUGACUAGCAAGGGGUCUUGGAUAUGGUGAACAGACAAAUCUAAAGCUGGGUCCAGUGGUUGCAAAGGUAAAAAUGUAAUUAUGAAUUUAAAAUUUUUUUGAAAUCCCAGGAGUACUAGAAGGACCAAGAUAUUAUCACAGGCAUGAAACAGGGUCAUUUUAAUGGAGGAAGAGAAGGAUAGGGCAAUAGAUUUGGGUGGAAGGGAAGUGUGGGGGGCCAUCAGUGCCAGAGAGCAUCGCAGCAUUUGUACGGGGAAGGGGAGGAAAGGAAAGGAGUGGGAAUCAGCUGGUUCUGAAAAGCAAAAUGUCACAAUGUUGCCUUGGGUGGCCCUCGUGUUUCCACUUAGCCCUUCAAAUUUUUGCUGUCAUUUGCAGCGAAAGAAAAAGUAGAGGAAAAGUGGACAAAGAAAAUGUCCUCCUUUCUUGAACAUAAAAUAUGAAUAGAGUGGGCCCUCAAUUCACUGUUUCCUGCGUCCUUACUCUGUAUGCCAAGCCCUGAUCCCAGCACUCUCCAAACCCUAGGCUAAGACCAGGCUGUAGAGUACACACACAUAGCGACCUGCCACUGAAAACACCUCAUGAUCCACUUAGACUGAGGCUUCUUAUCUAAAUAUUCCCAAGGUUUGUCUCAAAACAGAAAUAGACUUCACACUUCUGAGAAAGGUUUGUAAUUAUUGAUUAUUUAUUUAUGUAUUGCCAUAGAGCUUAGAAACAAUAUGCAAAAAUUAAGCACUAUGAAAGAAACAAAAUAGACCCUCAGUGGGCAUGCAAGUGGUUUUAGUUUAAAAGACCAUCAUGUGCCUGACAUCUGGGCAGAAUACCAACAGCUCCUAAUGCAGCUCUCAAUUCCAGCUGCCAAAAUGAGCUUUAAUAAUGUCUUUUAGGAAAUAGAUUUCCCAGCCCCCAUGCCUCAAAAUAUCAUGAAAGAUCUAAAGAGGUAAAAUUAAAGUGGUGAGGGAUACACUAAACGAAGCAGGCCAUGCCUUUUCUGAGUGGGGAGGCGACUCACCUCAAGGUGAAGGAAGGGCAGUGCCUCCAUCUGAGUGUGGGGUCUUCCUGCCUUGGUUGGAGAGCGCCACCUACUGUACCUGCCCCACUACGCUUGCCACAAGGUCCCUCCACGCAUUCCAAAUUCCCAAGGCUUUCGAAGCCCAGGGCCAGCUUUAGUAUUUAUAAGCAUCAACUGAACAAAUGUGUCUUGGACGGUGUGAUAAAGAGGAAGGAAUGGUCAGCGCUGUAGCUUGGAAAGGGGCCUUUAUGGGAGAUUGGAUGGAGGAUUGUAGAUUUCUUUUUACCACCCAGACUCCUGUUCUGACUCUCUCUACGCCAGCCCACUUUCUCAGCCUUAUCUGCCACCCAUCCUUUCUUCCAAGAACCAAACUGGACUCCUCAACAUCUCUUCUGUUGUUUCUCAUGACUUCGUUCACUCCGUUCCCAUUGCCUCAGCCUCAUCACUGAGUCAAAACCCGUGUAUCUUGCAAUGAUUAGUUAAGAAUUUUUUUUCUCUGCAUGCAGGCUUUCUUUCCAGUUUUUACCAUUCUUCAUACCACACAUGGUCAAGAGCAAUUAUGUUUCAAUUAAACUACCUAGUGACAUCUUUUGGCCGUUUUACUAUUUAAUUUUUGCCUGGUUCUCUAGGUAGUCAUGUGCUUUGGGGUGACCUCGGGGCAGGUUUUUAAGCUCCUGGAGGGCAUCAGUGACUUGAGAUAUUCAUUUACAUCACACAGCACCCAGAACAGGGCCUGGGAGCUGACAGACACUUUCUUUUGGUCUCACCAUUUUACUCCCAAACUUCUCUCACUAUAUUCUGCAGAAUUCCUCGUAGGAGCUUCCCUUUGUGAAGGAGCUCUGGACCCAGUUGUUAACCAGGUACCCUGUGCUCUCUUACGUUCACAAUGCAGAGGACACGAGGAUGGGGUGAGGAUGGGGAACAGUGGAAAGAAGUACCAGCAAAGCCGAAGAGUGAAUCAUUUCUUCUUUGCUUCGAGAAGUUCUCAUGAUCCAAUAAGCCAAUGAGCCUAAUUUUCAUGACCCAACUAUGCUAUGGAAAUUCUUGAAUUCCUUGCUUUGAUUAACAUUUAGCAACAGAUUAAUGCACAGAGCACAAUAUAAAGCAGAAUGACAGAGAGUAUCUUAGCGGAAGAGAGUAAACCGAGUUUGGUUUCCAGCUCUAUCAGGUGUAUCUCAUGGAACCUUGGGCAUGUUUCCUGAUAACUUGCUCCCUCAUAUGCAAAAUAAGAUAACAUUCACCUAAUAGGAUUUUUGUGAGAAUUAAAAGAGUAAUAUCUACAAAGCACUUAUCGCAGUGCCUAAGGGUAAGUAUUGUUGGUAGUGAUUAUAUUCACAAGACCUAGCAGGAACCUGGCACACAGGAAAUACUCAACAGCUCCCCCCUACACAGAUGCAUGUACACAUCUGUAUUAAAGUCAAAUAGAAUAGACAAUAAUAGAUCACAGACCCUAGGCACAGAGUUUGACCAAACCCUGGGUGCUAGGAGUAUGCAAAGAUCUAGUCUCAGCUCCAUCCUCAGCAUCCAACACUUGUUCAAAUGUUUAACACCAUCUGCUCUUUUUGCACUGAUCUUCUCUGACUCUCUGAGCUCUUCUCCCAGUUUCUACUUCUGGGCCCUUCUGUGAUGAUGGCCCAGUGGGGGCAUCCCCCUGUAGUCCACUCCUUUCAGUAAAGGAUGUUCCUUCCCAUCCUUCCAGGGAAUCCCUUCUGAUCUCACCAAGGGAGGGAAAUGGGCCACAAUGAUCUAAGGGAGUUACUAACAAAAGCAAAAACAUCAGUCAUCUACUUGAGAGAUGAACACACUCUCAAUUUCAUGAUCAGAUUUUGACGAGUUGCAGGAAAAUAAUGUAUUCCACAUUUGAAGGUUGCACAUUCGCCUGUCCACUGUUCAUGCUCACCUUUGUUAAUUUUUACAAUAACCUAUAAAUCCAUGUCCUGCAAAUGUGACGUGCCAAAACCUCUUGCAAAGGGAGGCUCAUCACACACAUAUGCAGAACCCAAAAGGUGUGAACUUGUCAGAGUUUGUCCUUGGUUUGUUUUAGCACCAUUUCCUGGCAAACUGCUUUGUGCGAGUCGCUGUUUUUCCCAUUAUUUUGCUCUCAGCUAGUUGCCAAUGAAUAUCCCUCAGGUGUGGAUUGACAUUGCCUUAAGGUGUUUUAAG
rnacentral:lncRNA from 1 species